CAGCGUGCGGCAUUUCGCGCUUGCGUAGUUUUGGUUCUCAUGAUGGCGGCGUCGAAUGUUGGUUUGCGUCGGGCAGUGCCACUUGUCGUUAUUUUGGGAGCUACUGGCACAGGCAAGUCACGUUUAGCUUUGGAAUUAGGACAGCGGUUGGGUGGUGAGAUUGUCAGCGCUGAUUCAAUGCAGGUGAAAGUUACCGUAGAUUAAGGAAGUGCUUGCUAGCUACAGCGAACAACUCAGAAGCCACAUGCUGCAGUGGAGUCAGAGAAGAACCUAGCGCAUGAGGCAAGCAGCAAAAUGCCUUUUUAAAGAUACUUGGAGACGACUGAAUACAUCAAGUCCCAUGUAGAACCUGAGCAGAGUCGGACCUUUAUCAAAGGUGUACCAGAACCUGUAGUGAUGUCUAAACUCAGACAAGACGACAGCAGCACCACAGGAGGGAAACCCAGGAGUCAGUGUUGUAGAGGCAGUCAUGAUCAAAAUGACUACAACUGCAAAAAAAUAAGUUUCAGCAACAAGCAGCUGGCAUGAAGUAGCGAGAAAGAGUGCUCCAGUAAGAGUGGGAGACUAAUGAAGUGCUGGCAUUUCUUUGAACUUGAGAAAGUGAAAGUGCUUCUCGAGACCUAGGCAACAUGUUGAGAUGCAAGGAUUGUAAUUAAUGUAAAUUGUUCAUUUAAUGGCUGUAUGGAGAGUGGGGAAAGAAGAUGAAAAAGUUGCAUUUUUUGAAUAGUGGUUUUGCACACUAAUGUUGCUGACCAGUGCUGGAGCUCAAGGUACUUACUGGUGAACCUUAUGAUGCAUUAAUUAGGGUCAGUGUAAUUUAUUUUGUCUAUCAGCUGUUAAUAAUAAUAAUAAUAAUAAUAAUAAUAAUAAUAAUAAUAAUAAAAUAAAAACAACAGAUGUCCUUUUCAUUCAUCCUCACUGAUGGGUUAUAGAUCUGAUCGAGGGAUCCGACUCGGCUGCAUCUUCCAGACUUCAAAUCCUAGUCUCGGGCUCCUCCCUCUUCCCAAAAUGCACCACACCACCUCUAACUCCUUAGAUCUCAUUUGCUGCCAUCCUGGUCAGAUGCAUGAUUCUGGUCUCUAGCUGUAAGAAAUUUAUUUUUAAACUUUAGUUCCAAUUUUUCUUUGAUCUGCUAUUUCCUGUUGGUUCAUCCUUCAUCAGUGGCCAUUCUUGGCUAGAAAUACUUUCUUCCAUUCUGGUCGUCUUUGUGCUGGAUCUCUUAAAGUUGUUAAUACCCAGCAGGAAGAAGUACAAGAUGUUAUGUCUCGGCUCUUGCAUUUUCCACAGGGUGGAUGGAUAUUUGUUUUAUAUGGCUUUACAUGUAGUCUUAGUGGUUGGUCUCCUUUUUCCAUGUACCUUAUUUUUGUCUCCGAAUCUCUCCAUGCUGGCUGGCCUGUUGCCUUGCAUUUUUUUUACUGCUCGGAAGGGUUUUCCUACCAGACUUGCCUUUUUCUGUCUGGUUUUGCUUUUGGUCAGCUCUUCGGUCUUGGGGCUUUUGUGUUUGUGUUUGUGUUUUAUUUUAUUUAUUUAUUUUUAUUUUAGCGUUCAAGUUGGAAUUAUCGCUACAGGUGUAUGUUUAGGUUGUGGCUUAUCCAAUGUUGCGUGUUUUUUAAAAUAAAAACAAGAUAGGAUGAGAGGUUUUGAAUUUGCUGCCUUGAAUGGCCUUGGGUAUUCCUGUGGUGGCUAGGCUUGUAUAGGCCCUAGGGCCAAUAGCCUAGUGCCUACCUAUGAACCUAUGGUGCUUUUGCGGUUGUUUGAGAAUAGACUGAGUAGCUACAGUACUAAAUAAUGGCGUACAGUUUUUCAGACAUUUCCUUCAGAAAAUGUGCUAAUACAAUUCCUAUUCUAGCCAUUUUCUAAGUUUACACAAGCAAUGUUUAGUAUGUGUUCUUGUGUCAAGGGGUUGAAAGGUAUGGGUCCUGGGUUUACUGGGCUGGUCCAGAUUGAAUGAAUCUAUAAAAAUGUGCCCACAUGAAAUACAGUACAAGAGAACUGGAGGGCCGAAGUUUUGAGGGACCGAUUUCUUUUAUCUGUCUGAUGUGCUGGGCUCGCGUGCUUUGUUUCUACACCUUAGAGCCCUUUGUUUCUUGCUGGUUUCUUUGGGGCUCAAUCCCCCCCCCAUACAGAGAAACUGCCAAUAACAGGUGUCUCCAAUCCAGUCCUUUGGAACUGGGGUCACUAGAACUCCGUUGGAUCCCAAGUCUCCUUGGAACUGACAGGUUGGUCCAUUGGGGUGUUUCCACUUUUUAUCAUUGGAUCGUAGGCCUGCAGAUCUGACUGUCUGGGACUUUGCUCUGGAUCAACCUCUUAGGAUCAGACUGGUGUGUGGACUCUUUCCGAUCUGGGUUCCUCCCACCAUGGAACCCUUUUGAUCUGAACAGUUUCUCUUCCCCCUUCCUUGGACCCUGACACUGGGAUCCUAUGAAUGUUAGGUGCCCAUGAAGGGCUGUGCAGCCCUCAGAUUUGGCUCCUUUGGGUCCAAUGCCAUUGGACUGUUGUAGUUUUCUGUGGAUUUGAGACACUCCUCAGAUCCGACUGAUUCAUUGUUUUGCUGCUUCUGCAGCUAACUUUUGUGGUGCCUUUUAACCUUUAGAUCCAGCGUGUUCACAUGUGUCCUUCACUCUGAUACUUGGGUCCGACAACUAGCUAAUCCCGUGAGAGAACUGUGCUGCUUCGGAUCCUGAAAUGUUGAACAGUUGGACAUUUCUUCAGAUCUGGGGCUCCCCUUGGACCAGACAGUAAGGAACCAGUAUUUGUUGCGGUCACUUGUCGUUUAGAAACUGCUUCUGAUACAGAUCCUGUUCAUUUAGCCAGUACCCCUAGAGUAUCCAGAGUCUUACCUCCCCCUUUGAGCUGCACUUUUAAUUUGAUAAUUAAGGAUAUACAUUCAUUUUCACUCAUCGUAUCCUUGACGCAUGAUAAUAUAACCAUAAAAAAUAUAUCUCUAUUCUCCUACUUUGUCCCGCCUUCCACUCUGUCAUAGUUUCUUGGAGGUAUUUUCUGAGUCUGGUCUGUCUGACCCAGGAUUUGUGCUGAGCCUGCAGACAAGACCUUCAUUUUGGUUAGGCUCAAUUAUUCUGGUAUCCAUUCCUGCAGCAUAAGAUUUCUCACUGCAAUGUCCAUUUCCCUUUCUAACAUUAAAGUUCUGAAACAAACCGGUCUUCCCAACCAUGUCUCGAUGACUCUGUGCAACUUUGUGGAACCCCUUAGGGUGACCUUUGUUGAAGCCCUCCUUUGGUGGUUCCUCUUUGUUUGGGCCACCAGUGAAAGACAUGCCCACCAGCGGCAAACAGGAAGGAUAGACUCUGCCAUGGGAAUCAACCCCCCCCCAGUGGACCCCCCCCCAAGAAACGAGCAAGAGGGAAAGGAGGCCAUGGUUCUGGAAGUUUGGGAGGGGGGGGGAUGCUUUUCAGACCCACAUGGGGGGAUACUUGCUCUGUAGCCAGAGGAUUAAUUUUCAAUGGGGGGGCAUCACUACAGAGGCUAAGGGCAUCUGCAAAAUCGGGCUUCAGAUCAGAGAACGGACCCUAUCAGUGAACGGACCCUAUCAGUGAUCCUGAAGGGUUGGGGCUGCCCGACUUGUCUCUGGAGGCAAUUGGGUUGUCAUUCACUACACCUAGGUGCAUUAGGUAGAUCUUACAGGCAAUGCUUAUAGGCUAAACAUUAUGUCCAGAGGUUAAUUCCUGUUUUCCCUGUUACCUCCAGAAAGCCGGGGGAAACUCCCCGAUCUUCAACCAUUCAGAGGGAGUGUGCAGCUCUAAGACUCCAAAAGCUGCUACACAGUCAUCAAAGGGGGUCCCAACUAAAAAAAAAAAAAAAAAAAGCUCCUGCUUUUUGCUGCUAAAGAAAAUGGGGGUUCUGAGACUAAUUCUGGAUCUAAGAAAUCUGACUCUGUUAUGAAGCCGAAGUUCUGAAUAGCUACAGUUUAGUCCAUUGUUCCUAUUCUGAGCAAGGACAAUUGGUUAGGCCCUGUGGAAAAAAUAGGCGGUCAUGGAAACAUUUGCAUGUCUGCUGGGGGCCAAUCACUACCAACUCAGAGCACUGCCCUUUGGGCUUACCACAGCUCCCUAGGUGUUCAAAUGUAGGGCAGUUGUGGCAGCUCACUUGAGGUUCAUAGGAUUCCAGAUGUUUCCCUGUCUGGACAAUUGGCUCCUCACUCUCAUUAAGACCAACUUCUACAAGCCAGGGAUUACUUGCUUCAGAUUUCCAACUCCCUAGGCCUCAGCAUAACCCAACUCCCAUACGAAAUCUUGAGUUUCUAGGCACUCUAUUGGAUACUACCAAUCAAGUAGAGUCGUUACUUCACUGCUUUAUUUCUCUGAAAAGUCAGGUUUGGGGCUUUUCCUGGAGUCUAUUCUUUACCACCCUCUAUCUACUCCUAUCAGGUUCACUCUAUUUUGCAAAUGUCAUAUUCAGUGGUCGAUACAGUUAAUGACCUGUUCUGGGCAGGCCAUUUUUUCUUGCCUCCCCAGUACCCAUGCUCACCCUGGACACUUCCUAUUCUGGAUGGGGAGACAUUACGAGGGAAAGGUGGCCUGAGACACAUGGUUCCCUUUGGAGACCAAGCUACAUAUCAAUAUCCUCGAGUUGAGAGUAGUCGUCCUAAUGCUGCAAGCUUCUCAUGUUUUCCCUCUGGGGACUGUUGCAGUCCAUGUAGACAUGUUAGUAGUCUGGUAUAUUAACAAACACAGGGGAACCUGUUCCCAACCACUGUGCAGAGAGGACAUGAGGGUCUGUGAAUGGGUGAUUUCUUCAGAUCGCUUUCCAGUUGCAAUGUAUGUAUCGGGGAAAUAGUGCUUUUGUAGGCAACCUAAACAGGCCCAUUCUUAUUCCAUACCAGUGGUCUGUCAAUGCGUCAGUAGCUAGCAUGAUUUUUGGUCGGUAGAGCCAGCUUUGCUGUGCGACCCUUUAACCUCUCCCCUCAUCAACUAUUGCAGCACAUUCUUUGCUCUCAUUCCUCUAUCCAUGGGAAUCCCCCAGGGAUGCUCUGGUUCCCGAUUGGCCCCCAGGUGUCUGCUAUACUUGUAUUCCUCUUCCUCGAAUUCCAUAGUCCCAACAGACAGCAAGCAGGCUGAAUAAGGCUCACUUACACUCGUUGCUUUUUUUUUUUCACCUCGUCGGGUGUGGUUUACCUGCUCCUGAUCUCGCCUCUGUUAUCUUUCAUGUGAACUCAAUUCUUCAUUGCGUACAAUAUUAUAUUUGCCUGUGGAGUUUUUCUCCAAGACUUUGAUAUAAACAGGUUCUGUUACCUGUCUGACUGUCCCGGUAAAACUAAUGUCAAAUGAUAAAUAAUUUUACUUAUUUGGGUUUCUGUCCCGAACAUUGGACCUCUCUCAGCUGCUAUUCUUCUCACCCUUUUUUUCAGCCUGGUACGUUUAAGCAGGCCGCCAGAUUUCUCUACCAUUAAUAAACUUGAACCAGUCCUGCUUUUAAGCCCUCAGUAGGCACAAAAUCAAUUCAGUUAUCCGUGUGCUCUCCAAAUCAUUGCAGUGAAGGUGAAUAUUUCCGAGAAAGUACAGAGAAUUUGAUCACUUUUUAAUCCCUUUUUCUCUAUCUGCUUAGGUCGAGUGGUGUCCAGUUACAGAUGUUGUUUUCAUUAUUUAUCCAUUAAGAGAGUUGCUAUUACCUCAUCCUCCCAAAGCCCCUUUACCAGGUCAGUGGCCAUUUCAUCUGCCUUCUCCACGAGAACGUCCUUUUUAUAGUAGAAAGUAAGAAUCUACAUAGUUUCAGUAUUUGUCAUCCUUUCUGAAUUGUCAGUUUUAUGUUUAAAUUUUCCUCUGGGACUGACAGCACAGAAAAUCUGACCAGCUGUUUAUUUUUCUUUCCUUCUAUCAGCCUGGGUUGCACAGUCCCAUAUAUAAUCCUGGCCAGUUAAACUACCGAUUGUAUUUUGCUGAGUUGUUUACAAAGUGGUAUGGAAUUGUCUCCUCAUCCUAGAAUUAUUCUGUCAAAACCAUGACUUCUUAACUUUCCUACUGCAGUUUGAUAUCUCCUACAGUAAUUUGUUUUUAUACUCUUACUCUUGUGACACAUUACAAACUGGGCAUGGUCUCCAGAAAUGGACCAUCCUUUGGUUUUGACAAUUCUCUAGCAUAUCCUUCCUUGAGAGCCUCCCACGAAUUUAUGUAGCUUUGGAGUCUACCCAUCAGUGAGGAAGAAUGAGGAGGACAUCAUCAUAUUUAGGAGUUAUGUACUUGUCAUAACUUGGUAUGUGUUCUUUCUCAUUUUUCCUCAUCUUCCCUGUCAGGCAUCCCCUAACCUUUUUUCUAGAGAGAGGUUUGUAUUUUAAUGGAACGUUGAGUUCCAAGGUUUGUUGCAAUUCUUAUCUGUCCUCCCUCUCUAAAUCAGUAGACGUGGGCAGCAAACCCGAUCUGAGGAGUUAGACGUGCUGUGGUGCAUUAUGGGAAGAUGGAGGAGCUCGAAGGAUCUGAAGUCUAGAAGAUGUGGACGAAUUAGAGGAUUGGAUCUGUAUCCCAUCAGUGAGGAAGAAAGAGGACAACACGCAUACCAAGUUAUGGAAAAGUACAUAACUCAUAAUUUGGAUGAACUAAAAAGAAACUUAUCAGUCCAAUAAAGAGAAAGGUAACACUUG